rnacentral:rRNA from 1 species
CGGACGGGUGAGUAACGCGUAAGAACCUGCCCUUGGGAGGGGAACAACAGCUGGAAACGGCUGCUAAUACCCCAUAGGCUGAGGAGCAAAAGGAGGAAUCCGCCCAAGGAGGGGCUCGCGUCUGAUUAGUUAGUUGGUGAGGCAAUGGCUUACCAAGGCGACGAUCAGUAGCUGGUCCGAGAGGAUGAUCAGCCACACUGGGACUGAGACACGGCCCAGACUCCUACGGGAGGCAGCAGUGGGGAAUUUUCCGCAAUGGGCGAAAGCCUGACGGAGCAAUGCCGCGUGAAGGCAGAAGGCCCACGGGUCAUGAACUUCUUUUCUCGGAGAAGAAAAAAUGACGGUAUCUGAG